rnacentral:rRNA from 1 species
CCUACGGGAGGCAGCAGUGAGGAAUAUUGGUCAAUGGGCGCGAGCCUGAACCAGCCAAGUCGCGUGAGGGAAGACGGUCCUAUGGAUUGUAAACCUCUUUUGUCGGGGAGCAAAAGACGACACGCGUGGGGUUUCGAGAGUACCCGAAGAAAACGCAUCGGCUAACUCCGUGCCAGCAGCCGCGGUAAUACGGAGGAAGCGAGCGUUAUCCGGAUUUCUUGGGUUAAAGGGGUGCGCAGGCGGACGAUUAAGUCAGCGGUAAAAUUGAGGGGCUCAACCUCGUCGAGCCGUUGACACGGGUUUUCUUGAGUGAGUGAGAAGUAUGCGGAAUGCGUGGUGUAGCGGUGAAAUGCAUAGAUAUCACGCAGAACUCCGAUUGCGAAGGCAGCAUACCGGCGCUCAACUGACGCUCAUGCACGAAAGUGUGGGUAUCGAACAGGAUUAGAUACCCCAGUAGUC